CUGCGGAGGGAUCAUUACACAAAUAUGAAGGCGGGCUGGAACCUCUCGGGGUUACAGCCUUGCUGAAUUAUUCACCCUUGUCUUUUGCGUACUUCUUGUUUCCUUGGUGGGUUCGCCCACCACUAGGACAAACAUAAACCUUUUGUAAUUGCAAUCAGCGUCAGUAACAAAUUAAUAAUUACAACUUUCAACAACGGAUCUCUUGGUUCUGGCAUCGAUGAAGAACGCAGCGAAAUGCGAUAAGUAGUGUGAAUUGCAGAAUUCAGUGAAUCAUCGAAUCUUUGAACGCACAUUGCGCCCUUUGGUAUUCCAAAGGGCAUGCCUGUUCGAGCGUCAUUUGUACCCUCAAGCUUUGCUUGGUGUUGGGCGUCUUGUCUCUAGCUUUGCUGGAGACUCGCCUUAAAGUAAUUGGCAGCCGGCCUACUGGUUUCGGAGCGCAGCACAAGUCGCACUCUCUAUCAGCAAAGGUCUAGCAUCCAUUAAGCCUUUUUUUCAACUUUUGACCUCGGAUCAGGUAGGGA
rnacentral:rRNA from 1 species